AACGAACGCUGGCGGCAGGCUUAACACAUGCAAGUCGAGCGCCCCGCAAGGGGAGCGGCAGACGGGGGAGUAACGCGUGGGAAUCUACCCAUCUCUACGGAAUAACGCACGGAAACGUGUGCUAAUACCGUAUACGGCCUUCGGGAGAAAGAUUUAUCGGAGAUGGAUGAGCCCGCGUUGGAUUAGCUAGUUGGUGGGGUAAAGGCCUACCAAGGCGACGAUCCAUAGCUGGUCUGAGAGGAUGAUCAGCCACACUGGGACUGAGACACGGCCCAGACUCCUACGGGAGGCAGCAGUGGGGAAUAUUGGACAAUGGGCGCAAGCCUGAUCCAGCCAUGCCGCGUGAGUGAUGAAGGCCCUAGGGUUGUAAAGCUCUUUCACCGGUGAAGAUAAUGACGGUAACCGGAGAAGAAGCCCCGGCUAACUUCGUGCCAGCCGCCGCCGUAAGAC
rnacentral:rRNA from 1 species